AUACGGAGGGUGCAAGCAUUAAUCGGAAUUAUUGGGCGUAAAGGGCGCGUAGGCGGAUUGGUAAGUCAGAUGUGAAAUUCCGAAGCUCAACUUCGGAGCUGCAUUUGAAACUACCAGUCUAGAGGAUUGACGGAGAAAACGGAAUUCCACGUGUAGCGGUGAAAUGCGUAGAUAUGUGGAAGAACACCUGUGGCGAAAGCGGUUUUCUAGUUUAUUCCUGACGCUAAGGCGCGAGAGCUAGGGGAGCAAACAGGAUUAGAAACCCGUGUAGUCC
rnacentral:rRNA from 1 species